rnacentral:rRNA from 1 species
UACGGAGGGUGCAAGCGUUAUCCGGAUUCACUGGGUUUAAAGGGUGCGUAGGUGGGCAGGUAAGUCAGUGGUGAAAUCUCCGGGCUUAACCCGGAAACUGCCGUUGAUACUAUCUGUCUUGAAUGUAGUGGAGGUGAGCGGAAUAUGUCAUGUAGCGGUGAAAUGCUUAGAUAUGACAUAGAACAUCGAUUGCGAAGGCAGCUCGCUACACUAUGAUUGACACUGAGGCACGAAAGCGUGGGGAUCAAACGGG